AUUGAACGCUGGCGGCAUGCCUUACACAUGCAAGUCGAACGGUAACAGGUUAAGCUGACGAGUGGCGAACGGGUGAGUAAUGUAUCGGAACGUGCCCAGUCGUGGGGGAUAACUGCUCGAAAGAGCAGCUAAUACCGCAUACGACCUGAGGGUGAAAGCGGGGGAUCGCAAGACCUCGCGCGAUUGGAGCGGCCGAUAUCAGAUUAGGUAGUUGGUGAGGUAAAGGCUCACCAAGCCGGUGAGGGGUAGCUGGUCUGAGAGGAGGACCAGCCACACUGGGACUGAGAGACGGGCCAGACGGCUACGGGAGGCAGCAGGGGGGAAUAUUGCACAAUGGGCGAAAGCCUGAUGCAGCAACGCCGCGUGAGGGAGGAGGGCCUUCGAGUUGGAAACCGCUUUCGCAUGUGACGAAGCGUGAGUGAAGGUAAUGGGUAAAGAAGCACCGGCUAACUACGUG
rnacentral:rRNA from 1 species